AGGCAAAGCAUAGGGCUUGGCUGGUUUUGGGGUGAGCAGCUGGGGGAUGCCUCGGACUUCCUCCAGAACCGGGUGUCCGGCCAGCGCACUUCCUGUCUCACGCUCUUCUCGACUUGCGCGGUGGCUACACCGAGAGGAACGUGGGCGCGGAAGUUGGGGGGUGCGUCUUGGGGUCUAGUGUGGCCUUGGGGAGAGGGUCUCGAACGCCGAGAUGGCGAGUCCCGGGUAGGAGGACAGGGUCACUCAGAGAUGCUUCGAUCCCGCACUCGUGUGCGCGCAAUCGCUGACCCUUCGCUUCCCCGGCGCUUUGUCCUGGGAGCGGGGUGACCAGUGUUGAGGGUUCGGCAGCUGCAGUCUGGGCCCACCUACCCCCCCCUUUUCUUUCAUCGUUCAAGCUCCGGAUCACAGUGCCCAACUCCUCGGAACCCACGAUUUAGUUAAAUCGCGAUGAUCCACUUGACUGGGAGCCGCUUCCCUGGCCAGGGAUAGGGAGAAAGGAAAAGCAGAGCGAAAGAAGGAACGCUACAGACAGAAGCGGCGAGCCAAGGAGUCUGGUUCGAAGGGCAGGAAGCCUAACGCGGAAAGCUGGCCUCCCGUCCAAAGCGAGGUGCAGGGCAGGCGGGCGCGGUUCUCCGCCGUGGGGCAGGCGCAGAGCUGCCCCCCCCCAGCCCUCCUCUUGCCCCUGCCACAGCGGGUUCCAGUUUUUGGCCUCAUUCCCAGACUUUACAAGGAGUAAACAAAACGAAGUUUCAGUGAACAAGAAUUCGCUGAUCUCAAGCUCACUUCCAGACAGCCGCCGCUGCCAGGUUUGCGUGCGCCGCCUCUGCAGUAAAUAAGAAAUGCGGACUCCCGCUGGCCUGGGGACACCUGCUACCCGAACCUCCGGCCUCCAGCCCUAUUUCUCACCGACUCCGGUGACCUGGAAACGGGGCUCAAGACCGCCCUUCUCCACCAAGAACCCUAACCGGCCGCUGGGUGCCCGCCCGACCUCUUCCAUCCCAAGCUGUCAAAGAUUCCGUGGAGCCCUCCGAGCCCGACUUGGACUGUGGGCCCGCAUCUGGGGCCACUGAGGCCUGGAUGUGCCCGCUGACCACCGACGCAGGUUCCCAGGAGCGAAGCCUAAAGCUGGCGUGGUCCUGGGAAAGACCGGCGCGCCGGGUGGGGUGCUCGGCUCUUCGGUCGCCGUCCAGACUAGCAAGCCCCAGCGCGUUCUCAGCUUGAGGCUGAGGCCAGGCCUCGGCUAGUUCUUUGGGAGCUUUUCAACUGCGCGGCUUGGCGGGCGUCGGACCUGCCCAGUCUUGGCCACGCACGCGGGCGGAUUUGGAGCUAUGAAGUGAGCUCAGGCGGUUCUGAGUGGCCAUGUGGGCCGUGGCUACUCGAGCCAUGCCCCUUGGCCAGUAGCUGACCUCCCACCGACCUGGAGGUGGAUCAGGCAGGCAUCCACUCAUCAGGGCUGGGUGCCUGCUUGAGUGAAUUAUCUCCUGCUGCCCUAGUGGUAGUAGUGACCCCCCACACCCUAGACAGAAGUUGGAAGGCCCAGCCUGGGCAGGUUGCCCAGGAUCUGUGUCUGUGGCUCCAGCCCCAGAUUAAGAAGGGCCUUGCUUUCCUACUCCACAUUCUCUUCUCACCCCCUCCUAGCAAAGGUUCUUGGACAGCAGAAGGGGUAAUGCUGAAUGAGAAAAGCCCACCCUGGGUAGCCGAGGGCCUGCACACACCAGUCACAUUUGGUGCCUACCCCCUUAACCACAGGACCCAGAGCCAGCCCCCUAAGUCCUCCAGGGAGGAAAAGUCCCAAGUAGAAGCCCCUCCAUCAGGCAGCUACAGUGGACCUGACCUUUGCAACCAGCCACCCAGGGGACUCACAGCAUCCAGGGAAGAUCAACUCUCCAGUUCCUCUUUGAUAGGUGGGACUGAGACUUGCCCAGGCUGAGGCCCACAGCAAAGGUUCUGCCCGGAAAGUUUAGCUCCUACUGCUGUCACAGCAGGGGCUUACAACCCUCAGGGCAUUUCAGUUCAACUAGGACUUGAGAAAGGAAUCUGAGGUAAGAAAGGGGGGGGGGGGCCUGGGAUAGCACACAAGUCUCUUAGCAGAUCUCUCAACAACAAAAAAGGGUAAGACUGUUCUAAUAGGAAAGUGAAGGUUUCCAGAAAUUGCUCCACACAGCCAGAGACUGGAUGUGGAUGGAAAUCUUCACAGCUAUGUGGGCUGUGGGACCAGCCUGCUUUGAGUUCAAAUCCACUUGCUACCUGUAUUGCUUGUGUGUACAAAAGUUAUUUAACCUCUCUGAGCUAAGGAUUCCAACAGUUAGAUUUAGGGACAGGACUUCCAGAUUUAGCUCAGUCUGCAGUCAAACUCCGAUCCUCCUCUUGCCUCAGUCUCCAGAGUAGGGCUAUUACUCUGAGUACCAUAUGCCCAGCUCUACUUUUAAAAAGGAGGUAUUAGCAUGCUUGUUUAACAAAAUUC